rnacentral:lncRNA from 1 species
AAUAUCUUAAUUUCAACAAGUUUAAUAUGAGUGUCAAACUUUUAGGCUUCGUUUUGUUCGGAUAUAAGUAAGAACUAGUUGUUUAAGAGAUAAGUAUAAGAUGAGGUAUAAGAUGGGUAUAGAGUAAUUUUGUAUUUGGUUGAGUAUUGGUUUAGUUCAGAUAUAAACAAAAUAGUGUUUGUUUGGAAUAAGUGGAAUAAGAAGGAUAGUGAGUACAAUAAGAAGGAUAGUUUUUGGGAUAAAAUUUAGAAUUAAUUACAAAAGUCGAAUGUUUUAUUUAC